UACGUAGGGUGCAAGCGUUGUCCGGAAUUAUUGGGCGUAAAGAGCUCGUAGGCGGUUUGUCGCGUCUGCUGUGAAAACCCGAGGCUCAACCUCGGGCCUGCAGUGGGUACGGGCGGACUAGAGUGCGGUAGGGGAGAUUGGAAUUCCUGGUGUAGCGGUGGAAUGCGCAGAUAUCAGGAGGAACACCAAUGGCGAAGGCAGAUCUCUGGGCCGUAACUGACGCUGAGGAGCGAAAGCAUGGGGAGCGAACAGG
rnacentral:rRNA from 1 species